rnacentral:rRNA from 1 species
UACGUAGGGUGCGAGCGUUGUCCGGAAUUAUUGGGCGUAAAGGGCUCGUAGGCGGUUUGGUAAGUCGGGUGUGAAAUCUCCACGCUCAACGUGGAGGGGCCACUCGAUACUGCCAUGACUCGAGUCCGGUAGAGGAGUGUGGAAUUCCCGGUGUAGCGGUGAAAUGCGCAGAUAUCAGGAGGAACACCAAUGGCGAAGGCAGCACUCUGGGACGUGACUGACGCUGAGACGCGAAAGCGUGGGGAGCAAACAGG